GCUUUCGUGGUGAAAUGGAUAUCACAGCGGUCUUCGAAACCGCUUUUGGGGGUUCGAAUCCCUCCGGAAGCACAA
rnacentral:tRNA from 1 species